rnacentral:rRNA from 1 species
UGUGACUGCGUACCUUUUGUAUAAUGGGUCAGCGACUUAUAUUCAGUGGCAAGGUUAACCAUCUAGGGGAGCCGUAGGGAAACCGAGUCUUAACUGGGCGUUCAGUCUCUGGAUAUAGACCCGAAACCAGGUGAUCUAGCCAUGGGCAGGUUGAAGGUUGAGUAACAUCAACUGGAGGACCGAACCGACUAAUGUUGAAAAAUUAGCGGAUGACUUGUGGCUAGGGGUGAAAGGCCAAUCAAACCUGGAGAUAGCUGGUUCUCCCCGAAAGCUAUUUAGGUAGCGCCUCGGACGAAUACUACUGGGGGUAGAGCACUGUUAAGGCUAGGGGGUCAUCCCGACUUACCAACCCUUUGCAAACUCCGAAUACCAGUAAGUACUAUCCGGGAGACACACGGCGGGUGCUAACGUCCGUCGUGGAGAGGGAAACAACCCAGACCGCCAGCUAAGGUCCCAAAUUACUACUAAGUGGGAAACGAUGUGGGAAGGCUCAGACAGCCAGGAUGUUGGCUUAGAAGCAGCCAUCAUUUAAAGAAAGCGUAAUAGCUCACUGGUCGAGUCGGCCUGCGCGGAAGAUGUAACGGGGCUAAGUAGUAAACCGAAGCUGCGGCAAUAUACUUU